rnacentral:rRNA from 1 species
UUUUACAGCGGAUGGUGGAUGCCUUGGGAGAUUGAGGCGAUGAAGGACGUGGCGUGCCUGCGAUAAGCCUCGGGGAGGUGGUUAGCAACCUUUGAUCCGGGGAUUUCCAAAUGGGGAAACCCGUUCCGAUGAUAAAUCGGAACACCCGACCCGAAAGGGUAAGGGGGCAAACCUGGGGAAGUGAAACAUCUCAGUACCCAGAGGAAUAGAGAAAAAAUUUUUACCCUUCAACAAGUUCAGGGUAAUCCUGAGCCUGCCGAAGGAUUAUUUCCUUAGUAGCGGCGAGCGAAAAGGAAAAAGCCCAAACCUACCAGUGCUUCGCACUGGAAAUUCCAAUUUCCAAAUCCCAAAUCACAAACAAAUCUUAAAUUCUAAAUUCCAAAUUCUAAACACGUUUUGGUUAUUAGAAUUUUGGUCAUUAGAUAUUGUUUGUAAUUUGGUGCUUGGUGCUUGGAGCUUCCACUGCGGAGCAGUGGUGGGGGUUGUAAGGAAAUGUCGUCGGGAGCUGACCGAAGCACAUAACGUUUUAUGUGCCUGGUCGGUUUCUGAGGGAGAACACCUAGAUAAGGGUUAGUUAGAAGAAAUACCCUGGAAAGGGAUACCAAAGAGGGUAAUAGUCCCGUAUUCGAAAACUCCUUUAUGCUCCUUGAUAUUUUUCUUGAGUACCAUGAGGACAAGAUAACCUUGUGGGAAGCAGGCCGGACUAACCGGCCAAGGCUAAAUACUCAAUCUCACCGAUAG